GACGCAUCGCGUAACUUGUUUCUCCUUAUUGGAUUGGGAGGGGGCGAGGAAGCGGUGCCAGGAAAUAGCUCCACAUAUAGGCCGUACCCGAAAACCGACACAGGUGGGAAGGUAGAGUAUACCAAGGCGCUUGAGAGAACGAUGUUGAAGGAACUAGGCAAAUUGCACGCGUAACUUCGGGAUAAGCGUGGCCCAUUGGUACGCAAGUAUGAAUGGGCGUCACAAGCCAGGGGGGUGGCGACUGUUUAUUUAAAACACAGGGCUCUGCGAAGGCUCCCAAGCCGACGUAUAGGGUCUGACGCCUGCCCGGUGCUGGAAGGUUAAGAUGAGAGGUGAGAGCUUUGAAUCGAAGCCCCAGUAAACGGCGGCCGUAACGAUAACGGUCCUAAGGUAGCGAAAUUCCUUGUCGGGUAAGUUCCGACCCGCAUGAAUGGCGUAACGAUCUCCCACUGUCUCCAGCAUCG
rnacentral:rRNA from 1 species